rnacentral:rRNA from 1 species
GACGAACCGUGCGAACGUUGUUCGGAAUCACUGGGCUUAAAGGGUGCGUAGGCGGGCUGCCAAGUUCGGGGUGAAAUCCUCCGGCUCAACCGGAGAACUGCCUCGAAUACUGGCGGUCUCGAGGGGGGUAGGGGCAUGCGGAACUAUGGGUGGAGCGGUGAAAUGCGUUGAUAUCCAUAGGAACUCCGGUGGCGAAGGCGGCGUGCUGGACCCCUUCUGACGCUGAGGCACGAAAGCCAGGGGAGCAAACGGG